rnacentral:rRNA from 1 species
AUACGGAGGAUCCGAGCGUUAUCCGGAUUUAUUGGGUUUAAAGGGUGCGCAGGCGGCCAUUUAAGUCAGCGGUUAAAUCGUGGGGCUCAACCCCAUUCUGCCGUUGAUACUGGGUGGCUUGAUUGCGGUCGAGGUUGGCGGAAUUCGUUGUGUAGCGGUGAAAUGCAUAGAUAUGACGAAGAACACCGAUUGCGUAGGCAGCUGACCAGACCGCAAAUGACGCUCAUGCACGAAAGUGCGGGGAUCGAACAGGAUUAGAUACCCUGGUAGUCCGCACAGUAAACGAUGAAUACUUGUUUUCGGCGAUAUAAUGUCGGAGGCAAAGCGAAAGCGAUAAGUAUUCCACCUGGGGAGUACGCCGGCAACGGUGAAACUCAAAUGAAUUGGCGGGGG